rnacentral:pre_miRNA from 1 species
AUCAAGAUCAGACUCUGCCCUCCGUGUUCACAGCGGACCUUGAUUUAAUGUCAUACAAUUAAGGCACGCGGUGAAUGCCAAGAGCGGAGCCUACAG